rnacentral:rRNA from 1 species
UUGAAACCAGGGAUUAGAUACCCUGCUACGCCUUUCUAUAAAUAAACAAUUACCUGGGUAGUAAAAAGUUAUUAGCUCGAAACUCAAAGAAUUUGGCGGUAGCUUAGUCUAGUUAGAGGAACCUGUCCUGUAAUCGAUACAACACGCAGAAUCUUGCUUUACUUUGUAUAGACAGCUUGUAUACCGUUAUUAUUAGAUAACCUCAUAAGAGUUUCAGUUAUUAAAAUAGCUUUAGCUAAUAUAUUAGAUCAAGGUGCAGCUAAUAGUAAAGAAGAGAUGGGUUACAAUAAUGCUUGGUUAAAUGGAUUUAAAAAAGAACAGUUUUUAAUGAAAUCGGAUUUAAAAGUAAUAAAAUUUUAAUAAGGUUUUAUGAUUAUAGCUCUAUGCUAUGUACAUAUCGGCCCGUCGCUA